rnacentral:ncRNA from 1 species
UAUAAUCCUGAGUAUAUUUGGCGCAUAUUAUGAAAGCAAACAAUACAUCUUGGUGGUGGAACAACUCUAGACAAUAGUCGUGAGCCACGCUUAGUAUGUAAAUACAAUACCAAAAGCCUGUC